AAAUAGAAAUGGACUGCCUUCAAGUCGAUCCUGACUUAUGGCGACCCUAUGAAUAGGCUUUUCAUGGAAAAUCGACCAAUGCCUGAACCAGGUCCCAAUGGUGCAGCCAAUGGAGGCACCCAGCGCCACGACGGACAGACGGGCGGAUAGAUGAGGAUGGGCGGCGAGAGGGAGCCACUGCCAGCCUUGUUUGAGCCCCAGAGUGCGGGAUCAGUACUGGAAUACGGGAAAGAAUGAUGGCGAGGACAGUGUGUGCCUCUGAGCGUGUGCAGAGCGCCUUUCCGGUUCCCUUGAGAGAUGUCACACAACAGGGCUGAAACACUGUCUGCGUUUCUUUUCUGGCCAUUAUUAUUAUUCGCUUCAUUUCAUGAUUAUUACUGAAAAUAAUUUUGUCAUAUAGAGGAGGGGGGUGUUAAAAAAUGACCUGCUCCGGGUGUCAAAUACGCUAGGUACGCCACUGGGUUCAACACAAUCUUGCCAAACAUCCCAUCGACAUGAAUCAUCAACAGGCAUGUUGUAAGGAAUUUUGCUGUGCCCACAAACAAUAUCUAGCAGCUACUAUUUCCAUGCCUUUGAAUCUUGUACAUCACCAGGGUGCCCCAUGUACACAGUAUAUAUGUACUGAACUGUACUGUUGCUCCUAAGGUAUUUUAAAAAGCUAUUCACUUUAAGAUAAACACAGCAAACAUGACUAUCUUCAAAUACUUUAUACAAAAUGGACAAGGUAAUAAAGUUUAGGAAGGGCAGUGAGUGUGUACACAUAUGUGCAUUGCAAUAAAAGGUGUUAAGCAGAUUUGCCUGUAUUCAGGGUCAGACGCGCCAGAGGGCAGCCAGGUUGGGCCCUGCCCAAGGGCUUCUGCAGCCCAGAGGGGCCCCUGAAGGGCCUCUCCUUAGGGUGGGAGGGUAGUGUUCCCAUUUUGUGAUCUGCAGUAGCAUCGACUCAUGACCCUCCCACAGAUCAUAGAGAGGGAGCUCCCAGCUUCCUCCAUGCAGACUGCACGGGCCCGCAAUGCCCCACUUACCUCUCCCACUGCUGUGAAUGCUGUGCAUGCUGUGCACGCAUACCUCUCAUCAACCAAGUUGGUGGCAGAAGCUUCUUUA